UGGGGAAUAUUGGACAAUGGGCGCAAGCCUGAUCCAGCCAUGCCGCGUGAGUGAUGAAGGCCCUAGGGUUGUAAAGCUCUUUCACCGGUGAAGAUAAUGACGGUAACCGGAGAAGAAGCCCCGGCUAACUUCGUGCCAGCAGCCGCGGUAAUACGAAGGGGGCUAGCGUUGUUCGGAUUUACUGGGCGUAAAGCGCACGUAGGCGGACUUUUAAGUCAGGGGUGAAAUCCCGGGGCUCAACCCCGGAACUGCCUUUGAUACUGGAAGUCUGGAGUAUGGUAGAGGGGAGUGGAAUUCCGAGUGUAGAGGUGAAAUUCGUAGAUAUUCGGAGGAACACCAGUGGCGAUGGCGGCUCACUGGACCAUUACUGACGCUGAGGUGCGAAAGCGUGGGGAGCAAACAGG
rnacentral:rRNA from 1 species